rnacentral:lncRNA from 1 species
CCGAAUCGAGCACGAUUCCGAAUCGAGCCCGAGCAGUUUCAAUUUUUCGAACGAAUAUGAUCCGAGUAUCAAUAUAAAAUUACAAUUUGAGGAGGUUCGAGUAAUUUAUCGAACUUUAAAAUUUUCUAAUAUUUGACUCAUUUAUAUUUUGUGUCGAGCCCGAGAUGUUCGCUUAUUCCACACACUUAGUCAUUGCACCUUCUUUAUUAAAAUCAAUUAUGAGAAAAUCGGAUUAACAUGGUUAACCCCUUCUUUGCUUAACAUGGUUGUCCAAAUUUACCUUACAUUUGUUCUAAACCUUCUCAAAUUUCAACACCCCAUUUUAUCAGCUUUCAGCCUGUCAAAAGAUUUAUUAUAAGUUCAAAUAUGAUGACAAUGAUAAUAUGCAUAAUUUGUUGAAAAAUUAGUUUUAAAUUUGUUGAUUAAUACUGAAGAAAAUCUCAUUGCCGAACUGGCCUUCCAAACUUAACCGCACAAAC